AAGCAACAGCUUGUCAAGACAUUCAUAAGCCUGUCAGGAUGUAUUGUGGAGGAUGUCAUGCUAGAAAACAUCACGCCAGAGGACCACGACCUCCCUAAGAUCUGCAACCUUAGGAGAAUAGCUAACCAAGUCCGAGCAGAUAUGCACCCCGAGGAGCCAAAGGACCUCGGCUUUGGGACAUGCAAUAUCUUGAGGAUUUCCUGGUGGGGGAUGUGCACACUGAUGACCUGAGACAUUUGAUGUUUUCCUCACCAGCUUCUUCUUCUCUGCUAUGCCUUACCCUGGUAUUGUGACGGAACAUUCGAGGCCACCUCCCAGCCAUCUACCCAACUUUGGUCCAUCCAUGCCUCCAUCAGGAGAUGAGAAAGCAACAGACAGGUUCUGAAGAAGUUGAAAGAAACCUUAGGGGUAGAGCCAGAAG